CCGACCGGCCCCACGACAUCGCUCUCAUCCAGCUAGAAGCAUGCGCUGUCGUGGCCCGCCUCCGAUUGCUUCAGCAAGCCAAGAAACUGGAACGCGCCCAUGCCCGGCGACCUCGGCAUCUCCAUCGAUGAUGAUAAUUUGAUCGAAAAGGGACGGCAUGCUGAGGUGUACAAAGGACAGCUUGCUGAUGGACAGUUUGUGGCAGUGAAGAGGUUAACAAAAAUACUUACCAAGCAUGCUGAGGAGUACAUUAUCUACAUUAUUUUGUUUGAGGAGUACAAUAUAUGUGUAAUGCAUGAAGACCCUUAAGCCCUCUCUGACAGGAAGAUCUUUCAUUGGCACAAAAGGGGUACCACGAAAAGAAAAGAAAUAUUUGUUUAUUCAGCCCUCUUUUCUCUCUAUCUCUAGUUCUUCAGUUUUCUGUGUCUUUAGAAUUUUUGUUUUCAGUGUUUCUGUAGUCCAGUCUUCAGUUUUCACUACCUUUCUACUCCUAAUAAUCAUUAGUGUUUUUAGUGCAGGAGUAUAAUUUUGUUUCAGUCAUUAGUGUUUUAGUUUUCAUUACCUAAUAAUCAGACCUUAGCUCGUUCUCUUUAAUCAGUACCCGUGCUAGUAUUUUCUUAGUAUGUGAGCUUGCAUCAUUGUUCAGUCACACUAAAUUUUGUCAAGUCUACAUAGCUAGUGAUUCAGUUCUUGGUUUCUUUUUAGUUUUUCAAUUGUGAUCCUUCCUCACCUAAGUUCUUCACUUUGUGUCUGUAUGUGAGCUUCCAUCAUUGUUCCGUCUACUAGUCUAUCAGUCUAAGUCCCUAGUGCUUACUCACUCUGUCAUUUUCCAGUAAGUCCCUGCUCAUUUUGAGGUGUUCCUCAACUGAUUUUGCACUCAACUGUUUCAGUAUCAUUGGCUUUGGCGACAUUGAUCCUUCUUCACGUAUGCUGGUUGUUGCAUUUGAAUUCAGAUUCUCUUGAUUGGAGUGGAGAGGAGCAGAGACGAGAGGAGCAGCAGAAGUGGACAGCGCAGCGGUUGACCUCGAGCUCUUGAUUGGAGUGGGUGGAGGUGGCCGACGAAGGAUCUGUGGCGAGCAGUGACGGAUCCAAAGCUGUGGCGGAGGAGGAAACCGACGGGAAGGGCGGCCGGCGAGGGAGCUGCGGACCGUGGCGGGGAAGGGCGGCCGAUGAGAAGCUGCAGACCACGGCGAGGAGGAGGAGC